CGCUCGCCGGAUUCCAGUAUCCUGUUUUGGAUACGUGAUAUAGUGAGAUAACUUUCAGAGAUCACAGGUAAUCAUUGGAAAAUUGGAAAAUUGUUCGAAAUUUCAUUAGGUUGGAAUUGAACUCGUGAAUUGUGGUUGAUUUCGUGAUAUGGUUUGGUCAGGAUUCAUAUAAAAAGAACGAAGUUUCUACGAGUUGGUUUUGACUCGAGUACAAAUCAAGAUCGGGACUCUUAAAUCUCUGAAGAAUGGGAACGAGAAUUUCUUUCGGACCGCCUCAAAGUGUAGAGGCAAGCAUGGUACAAGGUGGCGCCACCUUGGCGGCAGUGGCCAACUUAACAACCAUGUAAAAAGCGACGAAAUCGAGAGUGUCGGUGGGUCUGGCGAAGAGACACGAUCAAAGAGGAAAGAGAGAACAGCCUAUAAAACAAUUGACGCUCCCGCGGUAUCAAGAAGUAUCCGUUAAACCUGUUUUCUACUUCUUCUCCUAACCCAUCGAAAUCUACUUUGAUCAAGAUAUAUAUUGCCUUCAGAAGUGAAUGAAAUAACCUUCUUUUGCUCGCGACAUAACCUUUCUCUCUCUUCUCGGAAAAUAAUAAAAUAGCGAGAUCAAGUGAUCAUUGUGAAUCGAAGGAAAAUGGAAAAUACGCUUAUUGGACGAAAUAACAGGGAUAAAGGUAACCGCAAUGGCGAAUGUAUGCGUGUCGUUACAAAGGAAUCGUCCUUCGAUCGAGACGAAUAAACUCGACUCGUUGCGAUCUCUCCGGUGAUUCAGAGUGGCGAGCACAAUCGCGUGGAGCAAUUUUUGCAGAAGAUUUGACGGUUCUCCUCCCUUUUCCGUGCUGGCGCGUCCUUAUUCUUCUAAAUUGUUCCCAUUCGAGAACGAGCUCGUCCCUGAAACGCUCGUUCGCG